AGGAGCUUGCUCCUUGGAUCAGUGGCGAACGGGUGAGUAACACGUGAGCAAUCUGCCCUUGACUCUGGGAUAACUGCGGGAAACUGUAGCUAAUACCGGAUAUUACCUUGGAAGGCAUCUUCUGGGGUGGAAAGAAUUUUGGUCAAGGAUGAGCUCGCGGCCUAUCAGGUAGUUGGUGAGGUAAUGGCUCACCAAGCCUACGACGGGUAGCCGGCCUGAGAGGGUGACCGGCCACACUGGGACUGAGACACGGCCCAGACUCCUACGGGAGGCAGCAGUGGGGAAUAUUGCACAAUGGGCGCAAGCCUGAUGCAGCAACGCCGCGUGAGGGACGACGGCCUUCGGGUUGUAAACCUCUUUUAGUAGGGAAGAAGCGACUGGGUUUUCCUGGGAGUGACGGUACCUGCAGAAAAAGCACCGGCUAACUACGUGCCAGCAGCCGCGGUAAUACGUAGGGUGCAAGCGUUGUCCGGAAUUAUUGGGCGUAAAGAGCUCGUAGGCGGUUUGUCGCGUCUGCUGUGAAAACCCGAGGCUCAACCUCGGGCCUGCAGUGGGUACGGGCAGACUAGAGUGCGGUAGGGGAGAUUGGAAUUCCUGGUGUAGCGGUGGAAUGCGCAGAUAUCAGGAGGAACACCAAUGGCGAAGGCAGAUCUCUGGGCCGUAACUGACGCUGAGGAGCGAAAGCAUGGGGAGCGAACA
rnacentral:rRNA from 1 species